AGAGCUCAAAUUUUGAAUCUGGCGGUCUCGUGGCCGUCCGAGUUGUAAUCUAGAGAAGCGUUUUCCGCGCUGGACCGUGUAUAAGUCUCCUGGAAGGGAGCUGUCGUAGAGGGUGAGAAUCCCGUCUUUGACACGGACUACCAGGGCUAUGUGAUGCGCUCUCGACGAGUCGAGUUGUUUGGGAAUGCAGCUCAAAUCGGGUGGUAAAUUCCAUCUAAAGCUAAAUACAGGCGAGAGACCGAUAGCGAA
rnacentral:rRNA from 1 species